AUAUAUUGUUUAUUGCAUUUAUUCUCUUUGAUUGUAUCCGUCCAUCUUUCAUUGGAACUCGUGGGUGAAAACUAUAGGUCGUUUGUGACUGUGAUGACUUGUACUUUUUAUACAUCAGGCAUAAUGUUAUUGUCAUUAAUUACUUACCUGGAACGCGAAUGGGUGAAACUUUCUUUGUACACUUCCGUACCGUUUACUUUAUAUUUUUUAUACAUUUUUAUUAUGCCGGAAUCUCCUCGAUGGUUAUUAAUGCGAGGUCGUUUAGAAGAAGCACUUAAAGUCUUAGAAAACAUGGCAAAAGUUAACGGCCGAAAAUUACCAAACAAAAUCAAGACUAAUUUGGAAGCGAAAAUAGCUAAAAAAAAAGAUUCGAAUAAGAAUACCGCCAAUGUCGGAGUAAUUGACUUAUUGAGCAUAUCCAUCGAAAUAAUAAAAGUUGCAUGACCAUUGAUUUUCCCUCUACAAGUUGCUUAGUAUUGCUAAUGAGUGGAAACGUACCAUUGCCACACUCAUAGAAUGACCUUAUUUUGAAAAAUAAAACGACCUGUUUAAGAACAGUAACUAAAUUUGGCUUCAUAAAAGGGAAUACAUAUGGUGUAAAAUGAAAUAAUCAAGUAUGGAAGGGAUACGUUUAACCAAAUAAUUGCAAUUUUCAAUGAUCAAUGCCGGGGAAAUCAUCAUCCUUCCGGUGGUGGCAAAACUUUAUUUAAUAAAAUGGUGCAAGCAAAUUAUUGAAUGAAAUCCUU
rnacentral:lncRNA from 1 species